ACACCACCCGCUCACCCCUGUCAAUUCCAUUAUCUUCAGUGGAACUGCAGCAGUGACGCCAAGGGCAAUCAGAAAGGAGGGGACAGAGUGGCUGCAUGUGCUCUGCAGGCUUGACUGUUGCAGCGGAACAGAUGCCACAUUCCGCUCCAGAGGUUGCUGCUUCUCUGCGGCUAGCGAAACAAUCCCUGGGCAAAUGGCGUCCGGCUCCAAAUGAUCUGCCUGGUCUCCAGCUUCACCUGAAACGUCCUCCUCUCUGGCCUCU